CUCUCACUCGCCGAAAUCAAGUCCUCCUCCGGCCCAUUGCGGUCGUCUAUUCACGCCGCCACUGACAUCUAAUUAUCUGCUGGUUACUCCUUUUACUCCAGCCGAGAAACUUAAGGUUGGAUGACUCUCUACGUGUUGAUAUUAUCAGCUGUAUCGACAAUGAUUCCUUGUGAGUUGAUUAUGUAUUGGAUGUAUAAUUUUAUAUGUAAGAGAGAGAGAGAGAGAGAGAGACAUGAUAUGUAUAAAAAAACAUGUGUUUGAUGUGUUUAUACUGUAAAGUGGUAUGCGUGAAUGAUUAUAAAUUGUUUUGAGCAUAGUUUAUUCGUUUGUAUAUAUUGGUUGGCUUGUAUCGGAC